GGGGCUAUGGCGCAAUUGGUAGCGCACGUGCUUUGCAAGCAUGGGGUUGGGGGUUCGAGUCCCCCUAGCUCCACCA
rnacentral:tRNA from 1 species